CCCAAGGUUUCCUACGCGAUGCUCGUCAUCGUAGGGUUAGUCGGGUCCUAAGUCGAGUCCGAAAGGGGUAGACGAUGGCAAAUUGGUUAAUAUUCCAAUACCAACAUUAGUGUGCGAUGGAAGGACGCUUAGGGCUAAGGGGGCUAGCGGAUGGAAGUGCUAGUCUAAGGUCGUAGGAGGUUAUACAGGCAAAUCCGUAUAACAAUACUCCGAGAACUGAAAGGCUUUUUGAAGUCUUCGGAUGGAUAGAAGAACCCCUGAUGCCGUCGAGCCAAGAAAAGUUUCUAAGUUUAGCUAAUGUUGCCCGUACCGUAAACCGACACAGGUGGGUGGGAUGAGUAUUCUAAGGCGCGUGGAAGAACUCUCUUUAAGGAACUCUGCAAAAUAGCACCGUAUCUUCGGUAUAAGGUGUGGUUAGCUUUGUAUUAGGAUUUACUCCGAAAGCAAGGAAACUUACAACAAAGAGUCCCUCCCGACUGUUUACCAAAAACACAGCACUCUGCUAACUCGUAAGAGGAUGUAUAGGGUGUGACGCCUGCCCGGUGCUCGAAGGUUAAUUGAUGGGGUUAGCAUUAGCGAAGCUCUUGAUCGAAGCCCGAGUAAACGGCGGCCGUAACUAUAACGGUCCUAAGGUAGCGAAAUUCCUUGUCGGUUAAAUACCGACCUGCAUGAAUGGCGUAACGAGAUGGGAGCUGUCUCAAAGAGGGAUCCAGUGAAAUUGUAGUGGAGGUGAAAAUUCCUCCUACCCGCGGCAAGACGGAAAGACCCCGUGGACCUUUACUACAGCUUGACACUGCUACUUGGAUAAGAAUGUGCAGGAUAGGUGGGAGGCUUUGAGUAUAUGACGCCAGUUGUAUAUGAGCCAUUGUUGAGAUACCACUCUUUCUUAUUUGGGUAGCUAACCAGCUUGAGUUAUCCUCAAGUGGGACAAUGUCUGGUGGGUAGUUUGACUGGGGCGGUCGCCUCCCAAAUAAUAACGGAGGCUUACAAAGGUUGGCUCAGAACGGUUGGAAAUCGUUCGUAGAGUAUAAAGGUAUAAGCCAGCUUAACUGCAAGACAUACAAGUCAAGCAGAGACGAAAGUCGGUCUUAGUGAUCCGGUGGUUCUGUGUGGAAGGGCCAUCGCUCAAAGGAUAAAAGGUACCCCGGGGAUAACAGGCUGAUCUCCCCCAAGAGCUCACAUCGACGGGGAGGUUUGGCACCUCGAUGUCGGCUCAUCGCAUCCUGGGGCUGGAGCAGGUCCCAAGGGUAUGGCUGUUCGCCAUUUAAAGCGGUACGCGAGCUGGGUUCAGAACGUCGUGAGACAGUUCGGUCCCUAUCUGCCGUGGGCGUAAGAAGAUUGAAGAGAUUUGACCCUAGUACGAGAGGACCGGGUUGAACAAACCACUGGUGUAGCUGUUGUUCUGCCAAGAGCAUCGCAGCGUAGCUAAGUUUGGAAAGGAUAAACGCUGAAAGCAUCUAAGCGUGAAGCCAACUCUAAGAUGAAUCUUCUCUAAGCUCUCUAGAAGACUACUAGUUUGAUAGGCUGGGUGUGUAAUGGAUGAAAGUCCUUUAGCUGACCAGUACUAAUAGAGCGUUUGGCUUAUCUUUAAUAAAGCAU
rnacentral:rRNA from 1 species